AUUGAACGCUGGCGGCAUGCCUUACACAUGCAAGUCGAACGGUAACAGGUCUUCGGAUGCUGACGAGUGGCGAACGGGUGAGUAAUACAUCGGAACGUGCCCAGACGUGGGGGAUAACGAGGCGAAAGCUUUGCUAAUACCGCAUACGAUCUAAGGAUGAAAGCAGGGGACCGCAAGGCCUUGCGCGUUUGGAGCGGCCGAUGGCAGAUUAGGUAGUUGGUGGGAUAAAAGCUUACCAAGCCGACGAUCUGUAGCUGGUCUGAGAGGACGACCAGCCACACUGGGACUGAGACACGGCCCAGACUCCUACGGGAGGCAGCAGUGGGGAAUUUUGGACAAUGGGCGAAAGCCUGAUCCAGCAAUGCCGCGUGCAGGAUGAAGGCCUUCGGGUUGUAAACUGCUUUUGUACGGAACGAAAGGGCUCUGGCUAAUACCUGGGGCACAUGACGGUACCGUAAGAAUAAGCACCGGCUAACUACGUGCCAGCCGCCGCGGUAAUAC
rnacentral:rRNA from 1 species